rnacentral:lncRNA from 1 species
GCUUUUGUGAUUGUGUUGCCGGUGAACUUUAGUUUGGUAACAGUCGAAACAUAUAAAAUUAAUGACAGCUGAUCCAAAAUACCAGGUAUCAAGUAGAAAUACUUUACACCUACGUUACGAAAAAGAAUAAGAACAGGUGGUAUGACUACCUAUCCACAAGAGUCCAAAUGACACAGACACUAACAACUAUAGGUCAGCGUUCGACCUGUAACAAUGAGAAAAAAACUCUUUCAACACAGCUAGCUAUUAAAGGCCUUGAAACUAGAAAAGUUAAACAAUUCAAGCGACAAAACUAACAGCCUAAUUUGUGUAAAAUAUAAUAGCAAUCUGUUUAUCUAAUGAUUGUCAAAUACAUUUUCUUUUAAGUAAACGAAUAUCUCAUUCAUGUGCAUUUACAUUUCUGACUUGUACGUCAUACAUUCACGAAAUUGAUGAGCUCAAACUUCAUUUAUGCAUCUUUAAAUCAAAUGAAAGCAAACAUUGACAAAAACUUAACCAAAAGCAUUGAAUUUAA